rnacentral:rRNA from 2 species
UUAAGCGACUAAGCGUACACGGUGGAUGCCCUGGCAGUCAGAGGCGAUGAAGGGCGUGCUAAUCUGCGAUAAGCGCCGGUAAGGUGAUAUGAACCGUUAUAACCGGCGAUACCCGAAUGGGGAAACCCAGUGUGACUCGUCACACUAUCAUUAACUGAAUCCAUAGGUUAAUGAGGCGAACCGGGGGAACUGAAACAUCUAAGUACCCCGAGGAAAAGAAAUCAACCGAGAUUCCCCCAGUAGCGGCGAGCGAACGGGGAGGAGCCCAGAGCCUGAAUCAGCAUGUGUGUUAGUGGAAGCGUCUGGAAAGGCGCGCGAUACAGGGUGACAGCCCCGUACACAAAAGCGCAUGUGCUGUGAGCUCGAUGAGUAGGGCGGGACACGUGGUAUCCUGUCUGAAUAUGGGGGGACCAUCCUCCAAGGCUAAAUACUCCUGACUGACCGAUAGUGAACCAGUACCGUGAGGGAAAGGCGAAAAGAACCCCGGCGAGGGGAGUGAAAAAGAACCUGAAACCGUGUACGUACAAGCAGUGGGAGCACAGGUUUACCUGUGUGACUGCGUACCUUUUGUAUAAUGGGUCAGCGACUUAUAUUCUGUAGCAAGGUUAACCGUAUAGGGGAGCCGGAGGGAAACCGAGUCUUAACCGGGCGUUAAGUUGCAGGGUAUAGACCCGAAACCCGGUGAUCUAGCCAUGGGCAGGUUGAAGGUUGGGUAACACUAACUGGAGGACCGAACCGACUAAUGUUGAAAAAUUAGCGGAUGACCUGUGGCUGGGGGUGAAAGGCCAAUCAAACCGGGAGAUAGCUGGUUCUCCCCGAAAGCUAUUUAGGUAGCGCCUCGUGAAUUCAUCUCCGGGGGUAGAGCACUGUUUCGGCUAGGGGGCCAUCCCGGCUUACCAACCCGAUGCAAACUGCGAAUACCGGAGAAUGUUAUCACGGGAGACACACGGCGGGUGCUAACGUCCGUCGUGAAGAGGGAAACAACCCAGACCGCCAGCUAAGGUCCCAAAGUCAUGGUUAAGUGGGAAACGAUGUGGGAAGGCCCAGACAGCCAGGAUGUUGGCUUAGAAGCAGCCAUCAUUUAAAGAAAGCGUAAUAGCUCACUGGUCGAGUCGGUCUGCGCGGAAGAUGUAACGGGGCUAAACCAUGCACCGAAGCUGCGGCAGCGAACGUAUCACUUAAAGUGAUUCAGCGGGUUACGAUUGACGGAGCGAAGCGACGUCAAAGCGUAUACAAAGUCGAGUCGGUUUAAGGAUACGUUCGUUGGGUAGGGGAGCGUUCUGUAAGCCUGCGAAGGUGGCCUGUGAGGGUUGCUGGAGGUAUCAGAAGUGCGAAUGCUGACAUAAGUAACGAUAAAGCGGGUGAAAAGCCCGCUCGCCGGAAGACCAAGGGUUCCUGUCCAACGUUAAUCGGGGCAGGGUGAGUCGACCCCUAAGGCGAGGCCGAAAGGCGUAGUCGAUGGGAAACGGGUUAAUAUUCCCGUACUUGGUGUUACUGCGAAGGGGGGACGGAGAAGGCUAUGUUGGCCGGGCGACGGUUGUCCCGGUUUAAGCGUGUAGGUGUGUGUUCCAGGUAAAUCCGGUUCACUUUAACACUGAGGCGUGACGACGAGGCACUACGGUGCUGAAGCAACAAAUGCCCUGCUUCCAGGAAAAGCCUCUAAGCAUCAGGUAACAUCAAAUCGUACCCCAAACCGACACAGGUGGUCAGGUAGAGAAUACCAAGGCGCUUGAGAGAACUCGGGUGAAGGAACUAGGCAAAAUGGUGCCGUAACUUCGGGAGAAGGCACGCUGACACGUAGGUGAAGUGAUUUACUCAUGGAGCUGAAGUCAGUCGAAGAUACCAGCUGGCUGCAACUGUUUAUUAAAAACACAGCACUGUGCAAACACGAAAGUGGACGUAUACGGUGUGACGCCUGCCCGGUGCCGGAAGGUUAAUUGAUGGGGUCAGCGCAAGCGAAGCUCCUGAUCGAAGCCCCGGUAAACGGCGGCCGUAACUAUAACGGUCCUAAGGUAGCGAAAUUCCUUGUCGGGUAAGUUCCGACCUGCACGAAUGGCGUAAUGAUGGCCAGGCUGUCUCCACCCGAGACUCAGUGAAAUUGAACUCGCUGUGAAGAUGCAGUGUACCCGCGGCAAGACGGAAAGACCCCGUGAACCUUUACUAUAGCUUGACACUGAACAUUGAGCCUUGAUGUGUAGGAUAGGUGGGAGGCUUUGAAGUGUGGACGCCAGUCUGCAUGGAGCCGACCUUGAAAUACCACCCUUUAAUGUUUGAUGUUCUAACGUGGACCCGUGAUCCGGGUUGCGGACAGUGUCUGGUGGGUAGUUUGACUGGGGCGGUCUCCUCCUAAAGAGUAACGGAGGAGCACGAAGGUUGGCUAAUCCUGGUCGGACAUCAGGAGGUUAGUGCAAUGGCAUAAGCCAGCUUGACUGCGAGCGUGACGGCGCGAGCAGGUGCGAAAGCAGGUCAUAGUGAUCCGGUGGUUCUGAAUGGAAGGGCCAUCGCUCAACGGAUAAAAGGUACUCCGGGGAUAACAGGCUGAUACCGCCCAAGAGUUCAUAUCGACGGCGGUGUUUGGCACCUCGAUGUCGGCUCAUCACAUCCUGGGGCUGAAGUAGGUCCCAAGGGUAUGGCUGUUCGCCAUUUAAAGUGGUACGCGAGCUGGGUUUAGAACGUCGUGAGACAGUUCGGUCCCUAUCUGCCGUGGGCGCUGGAGAACUGAGGGGGGCUGCUCCUAGUACGAGAGGACCGGAGUGGACGCAUCACUGGUGUUCGGGUUGUCAUGCCAAUGGCACUGCCCGGUAGCUAAAUGCGGAAGAGAUAAGUGCUGAAAGCAUCUAAGCACGAAACUUGCCCCGAGAUGAGUUCUCCCUGAGACUUAAAGUCUCCUGAAGGAACGUUGAAGACGACGACGUUGAUAGGCCGGGUGUGUAAGCGCAGCGAUGCGUUGAGCUAACCGGUACUAAUGAACCGUGAGGCUUAACCUU